UUUUUUUGUCAUUUUGUAGAAAAGUCCUCACAAUUUUAGAUAAUCAACCCGCGGUCCAUCUUUUAGUCACAGCCGAACCGUUUUUUUUUGCAUUUUUCAAAAAAAAUCCCUGAUGUUUCAGGUAAUCAACCCGCCGUUCCUAUUUAAGUCAGCCAAAAUGUUUUUUAUUUUAACAAAAAAACCUUGACUUUUUAGUUAAUCAAUCCAUAUUUUAUCUAAAACAAAAUUAUCCAUAUCUUUUAAACCGUAACUCCGAUUUUAACAUGUUAUAUAUGAAAUUUGAUUAAAAAAUGUGUAGGAUCUAAAUAGGAUGUUAUUUUUAACUGUUGAAUACUUCUUAAAUAUUAUUUUUGGUGCAAACUUAAUCUGUAGUGCACGGUCCUUUUUUUCCUCUCUUUCCGGCGACCAUACGAAUUGCAAUAAAUAUCCAUUAAAUUAAAAUCAAAUUGACAGGAAAGAAAACAUCAUUAAUCACAUUGACAGGAAAGAAAACAUCAUUAGAUUAUACAUUCAAUCAUUUUGCUCCGUAUGUAGACACCUAUUGAAAUUGCUUAAAAGACUUAUAUUUAGGAACGGAGGGAGUAAAAGGCUGUAAUUAAAUCAGAUCGGAUGGAGAAAAAGAAAUAGAAAAAACAUAUCUGAAAAGACGUGCAAACUAACGAACGAGCUUGGGGCCUCGACUUAAUCUCCACGUCGGAUGCAUAUGCAGCGCCGUUGCGUGCCAUCCCGCCACUCCGCCGGAUGCCCCUGCCGCGGUGCGGCCGUGGAGCGAUGAGAACUGGAGUAUGGGAGCCGGCGGUUCAUAUCAUCGAUCGAUCAGGGCUGAGUGCGAUGGAAUUUCCUAUUCGACGCACAUUGCGUAGAAUGUUGACCCUUCACACAGAACUCGCGAUGUAGCCAUUACCUG
rnacentral:lncRNA from 1 species